GGACCUGAUCAGCCCUGGGAGCACAGGUGUGAAGGCAAUGCACCUGUGCAACCAGAAGGAGUGGAGCCUGGCCCCACCUCUCUCAGACCCCAUUUAAGGGCUGACUGCCACUGUGGAAGCAUCUCUUUGUGGAGAUCCCUCCUCGGUGGAGGGAUGGACAGAUGAGCAGGCCUUUUUCCUUCCUUAUAGCACCUUUCUAUGCCGUUAGUCCCUCUGUCAUUACCCCUCUUGAAUCGCCUUUCCAUUGUGUUGUUCUUCCUGACAGGGAAUGGGACCAACAGCCUCAGCUUCCACGGGAACAGAACACUGGGGAAACGACUCUGAAAAUGAUUCUGACGAGUUCAGCCAGAUGGAGGCUGAAGAAGACCUCAUGGGGAGGUGCCUGAGGGCCCUCCUCCAGUCCCUCCAGGAAGCAGCCAGCAGCAGGGGAAGGCAGCGGGAAGAGGAAGAAACCCUCCGCUGACGCCACACUGCGGUGUGACAGCUAGAGUGCUCGUUCUACAGAUGGACAGUGGGAAAGGCAGCAAUGCAAGGUGACAGUCACCGCUUGGGCAGAACACACCUCAGCCCAACAAAGGUUCUUGCGCUGAAGACACCUUGACGACUACAAUGUCUUCUACUGCCAUCAACGCCCACUGGCAUCAUAUGGGACCAGACUCUGCUCUGUUUCACCACGGGUUCAGCAACAACAUGCACGUGCAGCGGAGGCGCCCACCCAAGUGACGUGGAGAAACUUGUACUGGCAGCAACCUUGCUCUCCCUGGAAAGCCAGGGCCAGCCUGUAAGAAGAAAAACAUGCAGGCGUGAGCUGCUAGUUCCAGGGUUUUCCGGAAUCUUUCUCUUUCCUUUUCAGACAGGAUAUGUAUAUUUGCACUGUACGCAUCAUGUAUAUAGUCAAAUUUGUUUCCUUUAUGUAAUUCUGUUACCCUGUGCGUGUUGCUCUAGGCAUUUUCUUCCGAAGGAUGUAUCGGUGUUUAAAAAUAAAUUGUUGAACAGCUCAA